rnacentral:rRNA from 1 species
UACGUAGGGCGCGAGCGUUGUCCGGAAUUAUUGGGCGUAAAGAGCUCGUAGGCGGCCUGUUGCGUCCGCUGUGAAAUCCCGAGGCUCAACCUCGGGUCUGCAGUGGGUACGGGCAGACUAGAGUGCGGUAGGGGAGACUGGAAUUCCUGGUGUAGCGGUGAAAUGCGCAGAUAUCAGGAGGAACACCGGCGGCGAAGGCGGGUCUCUGGGCCUUACCUGACGCUGGAGGAG